rnacentral:rRNA from 1 species
UUAAGCGACUAAGCGUACACGGUGGAUGCCCUGGCAGUCAGAGGCGAUGAAGGACGUGCUAAUCUGCGAAAAGCGUCGGUAAGGUGAUAUGAACCGUUAUAACCGGCGAUGUCCGAAUGGGGAAACCCAGUGUGAUUCGUCACACUAUCGUUAACUGAAUACAUAGGUUAACGAGGCGAACCGGGGGAACUGAAACAUCUAAGUACCCCGAGGAAAAGAAAUCAACCGAGAUUCCCCCAGUAGCGGCGAGCGAACGGGGAGCAGCCCAGAGUCUGAAUCAGCUUGUGUGUUAGUGGAACGGUCUGGAAAGUCCGACGGUACAGGGUGAUAGUCCCGUACACCAAAAUGCACAGGCUGUGAACUCGAAGAGUAGGGCGGGACACGUGGUAUCCUGUCUGAAUAUGGGGGGACCAUCCUCCAAGGCUAAAUACUCCUGACUGACCGAUAGUGAACCAGUACCGUGAGGGAAAGGCGAAAAGAACCCCGGCGAGGGGAGUGAAAAAGAACCUGAAACCGUGUACGUACAAGCAGUGGGAGCACCUUCGGGUGUGACUGCGUACCUUUUGUAUAAUGGGUCAGCGACUUAUAUUCUGUAGCAAGGUUAACCGUAUAGGGGAGCCGCAGGGAAACCGAGUCUUAACUGGGCGUUAAGUUGCAGGGUAUAGACCCGAAACCCGGUGAUCUAGCCAUGGGCAGGUUGAAGGUUGGGUAACACUAACUGGAGGACCGAACCGACUAAUGUUGAAAAAUUAGCGGAUGACUUGUGGCUGGGGGUGAAAGGCCAAUCAAACCGGGAGAUAGCUGGUUCUCCCCGAAAGCUAUUUAGGUAGCGCCUCGUGAAUUCAUCUUCGGGGGUAGAGCACUGUUUCGGCUAGGGGGUCAUCCCGACUUACCAACCCGAUGCAAACUACGAAUACCGAAGAAUGUUAUCACGGGAGACACACGGCGGGUGCUAACGUCCGUCGUGAAGAGGGAAACAACCCAGACCGCCAGCUAAGGUCCCAAAGUCAUGGUUAAGUGGGAAACGAUGUGGGAAGGCACAGACAGCCAGGAUGUUGGCUUAGAAGCAGCCANCACUAUCGUUAACUGAAUACAUAGGUUAACGAGGCGAACCGGGGGAACUGAAACAUCUAAGUACCCCGAGGAAAAGAAAUCAACCGAGAUUCCCCCAGUAGCGGCGAGCGAACGGGGAGCAGCCCAGAGUCUGAAUCAGCUUGUGUGUUAGUGGAACGGUCUGGAAAGUCCGACGGUACAGGGUGAUAGUCCCGUACACCAAAAUGCACAGGCUGUGAACUCGAAGAGUAGGGCGGGACACGUGGUAUCCUGUCUGAAUAUGGGGGGACCAUCCUCCAAGGCUAAAUACUCCUGACUGACCGAUAGUGAACCAGUACCGUGAGGGAAAGGCGAAAAGAACCCCGGCGAGGGGAGUGAAAAAGAACCUGAAACCGUGUACGUACAAGCAGUGGGAGCACCUUCGGGUGUGACUGCGUACCUUUUGUAUAAUGGGUCAGCGACUUAUAUUCUGUAGCAAGGUUAACCGUAUAGGGGAGCCGCAGGGAAACCGAGUCUUAACUGGGCGUUAAGUUGCAGGGUAUAGACCCGAAACCCGGUGAUCUAGCCAUGGGCAGGUUGAAGGUUGGGUAACACUAACUGGAGGACCGAACCGACUAAUGUUGAAAAAUUAGCGGAUGACUUGUGGCUGGGGGUGAAAGGCCAAUCAAACCGGGAGAUAGCUGGUUCUCCCCGAAAGCUAUUUAGGUAGCGCCUCGUGAAUUCAUCUUCGGGGGUAGAGCACUGUUUCGGCUAGGGGGUCAUCCCGACUUACCAACCCGAUGCAAACUACGAAUACCGAAGAAUGUUAUCACGGGAGACACACGGCGGGUGCUAACGUCCGUCGUGAAGAGGGAAACAACCCAGACCGCCAGCUAAGGUCCCAAAGUCAUGGUUAAGUGGGAAACGAUGUGGGAAGGCACAGACAGCCAGGAUGUUGGCUUAGAAGCAGCCAUCAUUUAAAGAAAGCGUAAUAGCUCACUGGUCGAGUCGGCCUGCGCGGAAGAUGUAACGGGGCUAAACCAUGCACCGAAGCUGCGGCAGCGACACUAUGUGUUGUUGGGUAGGGGAGCGUUCUGUAAGCCUGCGAAGGUGNNNNNNNNNNNNNNNNNNNNNNNNNNNNNNNNNNNNNNNAAAUCGUACCCCAAACCGACACAGGUGGUCAGGUAGAGAAUACCAAGGCGCUUGAGAGAACUCGGGUGAAGGAACUAGGCAAAAUGGUGCCGUAACUUCGGGAGAAGGCACGCUGGUGUGUAGGUGAAGUCCCUGCGGAUGGAGCUGAGACCAGUCGAAGAUACCAGCUGGCUGCAACUGUUUAUUAAAAACACAGCACUGUGCAAACACGAAAGUGGACGUAUACGGUGUGACGCCUGCCCGGUGCCGGAAGGUUAAUUGAUGGGGUUAUCCGUAAGGAGAAGCUCUUGAUCGAAGCCCCGGUAAACGGCGGCCGUAACUAUAACGGUCCUAAGGUAGCGAAAUUCCUUGUCGGGUAAGUUCCGACCUGCACGAAUGGCGUAAUGAUGGCCAGGCUGUCUCCACCCGAGACUCAGUGAAAUUGAACUCGCUGUGAAGAUGCAGUGUACCCGCGGCAAGACGGAAAGACCCCGUGAACCUUUACUAUAGCUUGACACUGAACAUUGAGCCUUGAUGUGUAGGAUAGGUGGGAGGCUUUGAAGCGUGGACGCCAGUCUGCGUGGAGCCAACCUUGAAAUACCACCCUUUAAUGUUUGAUGUUCUAACGUUGGCCCCUGACCGGGGUUGCGGACAGUGUCUGGUGGGUAGUUUGACUGGGGCGGUCUCCUCCCAAAGCGUAACGGAGGAGCACGAAGGUUAGCUAAUCCUGGUCGGACAUCAGGAGGUUAGUGCAAUGGCAUAAGCUAGCUUGACUGCGAGCGUGACGGCGCGAGCAGGUGCGAAAGCAGGUCAUAGUGAUCCGGUGGUUCUGAAUGGAAGGGCCAUCGCUCAACGGAUAAAAGGUACUCCGGGGAUAACAGGCUGAUACCGCCCAAGAGUUCAUAUCGACGGCGGUGUUUGGCACCUCGAUGUCGGCUCAUCACAUCCUGGGGCUGAAGUAGGUCCCAAGGGUAUGGCUGUUCGCCAUUUAAAGUGGUACGCGAGCUGGGUUUAGAACGUCGUGAGACAGUUCGGUCCCUAUCUGCCGUGGGCGCUGGAGAAUUGAGGGGGGCUGCUCCUAGUACGAGAGGACCGGAGUGGACGCAUCACUGGUGUUCGGGUUGUCAUGCCAAUGGCACUGCCCGGUAGCUAAAUGCGGAAGAGAUAAGUGCUGAAAGCAUCUAAGCACGAAACUUGCCCCGAGAUGAGUUCUCCCUGAGACUUUAAGUCUCCUGAAGGAACGUUGAAGACGACGACGUUGAUAGGCCGGGUGUGUAAGCGCAGCGAUGCGUUGAGCUAACCGGUACUAAUGAACCGUGAGGCUUAACCUU